rnacentral:rRNA from 1 species
UAGCGGCGGACGGGUGAGUAACACGUGGAUAACCUACCUAUAAGACUGGGAUAACUUCGGGAAACCGGAGCUAAUACCGGAUAACAUGUUGAACCGCAUGGUUCAACAGUGAAAGACGGUCUUGCUGUCACUUAUAGAUGGAUCCGCGCCGCAUUAGCUAGUUGGUAAGGUAACGGCUUACCAAGGCAACGAUGCGUAGCCGACCUGAGAGGGUGAUCGGCCACACUGGAACUGAGACACGGUCCAGACUCCUACGGGAGGCAGCAGUAGGGAAUCUUCCGCAAUGGGCGAAAGCCUGACGGAGCAACGCCGCGUGAGUGAAGAAGGUCUUCGGAUCGUAAAACUCUGUUAUUAGGGAAGAACAAAUGUGUAAGUAACUAUGCACGUCUUGACGGUACCUAAUCAGAAAGCCACGGCUAACUACGUGCCAGCAGCCGCGGUAAUACGUAGGUGGCAAGCGUUAUCCGGAAUUAUUGGGCG